rnacentral:tRNA from 1 species
GGUGGGUUGGCUCAGUGGUUGGAGCGUAGGUCUUGUAACCAAAAGGUUGCAAGAUCGAAUCCUGCUAGAGGCUG